rnacentral:rRNA from 1 species
GACGAACGCUGGCGGCGUGCUUAACACAUGCAAGUCGAACGGAAAGGCCCUGCUUUUGUGGGGUGCUCGAGUGGCGAACGGGUGAGUAACACGUGAGUAACCUGCCCUUGACUUUGGGAUAACUUCAGGAAACUGGGGCUAAUACCGGAUAGGAGCUCCUGCUGCAUGGUGGGGGUUGGAAAGUUUCGGCGGUUGGGGAUGGACUCGCGGCUUAUCAGCUUGUUGGUGGGGUAGUGGCUUACCAAGGCUUUGACGGGUAGCCGGCCUGGGAGGGUGACCGGCCACAAUGGGACUGAGAUACGGACCAGACUCCUACGGGAGGCAGCAGUGGGGAAUAUUGCACAAUGGGCGGAAGCCUGAUGCAGCAACGCCGCGUGCGGGAUGACGGCCUUCGGGUUGUAAACCGCUUUCGCCUGUGACGAAGCGUGAGUGACGGUAAUGGGUAAAGAAGCACCGGCUAACUACGUG